AUUUAGUCUGUGCCAGGUAUCGUCCGCAGCGUUUUACACGUACAGAAUUACCUCUCAAUCCUCACAACCGCCCUCUGAGACAGGUAUUUUUUAAUCAUGCCCAUUGUACAGAUGAGGCAACUGAGGCACAGCGCGGGGUAGUCACCUGCCCCAAGGCACACAAGCCGGGGAGUGGCAAAGCUGGGACUGGAACCCGGUCCAUCGGGGACACCGACACAUCAGACAAGGACACACAUACAUCACGUGCCAGGCCGCCGCCGUCUCGGGGUCACAUCCCACCCUCCAGCGCCCCGAGCUGCAGACACACCCGGAAGCGCGGACUCCCACCCUGGGCGCGGACCUCUCCAUCGUCCAUCUUGCCACUUCCCCAUUGGGAAGUGAAGACUAUGGGAAGUGAAGACUAUGUCUCCACACCUUGAACCUGAAGGGACUACCUCAACCAACAAGGAUUCAAUAGAAGUGCUUCUGUGUGACUUCUGAGGUCAGGUUGUAAAAAUGCCAUGCCUUGUUUUCUUAGUACAAACACUCUUACAAUUCAGCUUCCAUGAUGUGAGGAAGCCCAAGAGUCUGUGAGGAGGCCCACAUGGAGAGGAAAUGAAAUCCCCAGCCCUCAAUUCCCUCUGAGCUGCUAGCCAACAGCUAGCACCAAUUCUUAGAACUCAGCCUCCGUGCUGUGAGGAAGCUCAAGAGUCCACGAGGAAGCCCACAAAGAGAGGAAAUUAUGUCCCCAGCCCUUAGUCCCCACUAAGUUGCUAGCCAACAGUCAGCACUAACUUGCCAGCCAUGUGAGCCAUCUUGAAAGUGGUUUCUUAUUAGAUGCACUGAAGACAUGAAUAGAAAAAUAAAAAUAAAAUACAGAAAGUGGGUUCUUCAGCUCCCAGAGGAGCUGCCUCAAUUGUUGCCUCAUUGAUCAGAGAUGAGCUGCCUCUGCUGAACUCCACCCAAAUUGAA
rnacentral:lncRNA from 1 species